rnacentral:rRNA from 1 species
GGGGAAUAUUGGACAAUGGGGGAAACCCUGAUCCAGCGACGCCGCGUGAGUGAAGAAGUAUUUCGGUAUGUAAAGCUCUAUCAGCAGGGAAGAAAAUGACGGUACCUGACUAAGAAGCCCCGGCUAACUACGUGCCAGCAGCCGCGGUAAUACGUAGGGGGCAAGCGUUAUCCGGAUUUACUGGGUGUAAAGGGAGCGUAGACGGCUAUGCAAGUCUGGUGUGAAAACCCGGGGCUCAACCCCGGGACUGCAUUGGAAACUGUGUGGCUUGAGUGUCGGAGAGGUAAGUGGAAUUCCUAGUGUAGCGGUGAAAUGCGUAGAUAUUAGGAGGAACACCAGUGGCGAAGGCGGCCCCCUGGACAAAGACUGACGCUCAGGUGCGAAAGCGUGGGGAGCAAAC